UACGAAGGGGGGCUAGCGUUGUUCGGAAUUACUGGGCGUAAAGCGCACGUAGGCGGACUAUUAAGUCAGGGGGUGAAAUCCCGGAGCUCAACUCCGGAACUGCCUUUGAUACUGGUAGCCUAGAGAUCGGAAGAGGUGAGUGGAAUUCCCAGUGUAGAGGUGAAAUUCGUAGAUAUUGGGAAGAACACCAGUGGCGAAGGCGGCUCACUGGUCCGAUACUGACGCUGAGGUGCGAAAGCGUGGGGAGCAAACAGG
rnacentral:rRNA from 1 species